rnacentral:rRNA from 1 species
CCUACGGGUGGCAGCAGUGGGGAAUAUUGCACAAUGGGGGGAACCCUGAUGCAGCGACGCCGCGUGGGUGAGGAAGUACUUCGGUAUGUAAAGCCCUAUCAGCAGGGAAGAAAAUGACGGUACCUGACUAAGAAGCCCCGGCUAACUACGUUCCAGCAGCCGCGGUAAUACGUAGGGGGCAAGCGUUAUCCGGAUUUACUGGGUGUAGAGGGAGCGUAGACGGCGUGCCAAGUCUGAUGUGAAAGGCCGGGGCUCAACCCCGGGAUUGAAUUGGAAACUGGCAUGCUGGAGUGGCGGAGGGGCAAGGGGAAUUCGGAGUGGAGGGGUGAAAGGCGUAGAUAUGAGGAGGAACACCGGUGGCGAAGGCGGCUUGAUGGACGGUAACGGACGUUGAGGCUCGAAAGCGUGGGGAGCAAACAGGAUUAGAUACCCGGGUAGUC